rnacentral:lncRNA from 1 species
UUACCUUAAGGUGAGGGUUCGAUGUUUUUAGUCCUUCGAACUGGACUUCUUCUUCCACUCUUGUGUAUCUCUCCAUCUUGAGAGAUGGAGGUCUUGUAGUUGCAUACCUCUAGCGAUGAUGAUGUCACCUUUGUUCUUUGAUUUGGCCAGUAGGUUGAAGGAGAGUUUUAAUAGUAGCUGGUAGCAUCUUGCUCAGUGUGUAUGUUCAUAGAACUUUCACUUGUAGAAUUAAUAAACUUUGUUUGAUGUGUUGUCAU